rnacentral:pre_miRNA from 1 species
UAAAUACUCCCUCCGUCCGAAAAUACUUGUCAUCAAAAUGGACAAAAAUGGAUGUAUCUAGAACUAAAAUACAUCUAGAUACAUCCCCUUUUAUUCAUUUUGAUGACAAGUAUUUCUGGAUGGAGGGAGUACUUU